rnacentral:rRNA from 1 species
UACGUAGGGGGCUAGCGUUGUCCGGAAUUAUUGGGCGUAAAGAGCUCGUAGGUGGUUUGUCGCGUCUGUUGUGAAAGCCCGGGGCUUAACUCCGGGUUUGCAGUGGAUACAGGCAGGCUAGAGUUCGGUAGGGGAGACUGGAAUUCCUGGUGUAGCGGUGAAAUGCGCAGAUAUCAGGAGGAACACCGGUGGCGAAGGCGGGUCUCUGGGCCGAUACUGACGCUGAGGAGCGAAAGCGUGGGGAGCGAACAGG